ensembl:lncRNA
CCCCCACACUUUUCAUAUUUUCUGCAUUAUUCUUAGGUCAGGGCUUGCAACUGUCACUGGACUGCUCUGGGAGCUGAACCUGGAACAUUCUGAGCCCACCGAAGGCCACUGCUGAGAAAUCAGAUAAGGGGUAAUCCAGGCAUGGAUGUUAGAAAAUCCUCCUAGCAUAAUCCCUAUUAAACCACCCUAAGCAUGGUGCUUGUCAACACAGCUGGGAAAAGCAAGGUGAUGCCACCUUGAUGCCGGCAAAGGCCUUCACCAUGGCCACUUUACUGACUCCAAAUUCAGCAAGAUUACCUGGCUGCUUCUUUCUACGCCUCAAGUCUCAUCCUCUCCUCCAGCCUCUCCCUGUCCUGGUCCCCUCUUACCUUUCCCUUUAUUUACUCUCCAUUUAGAUUUUCUCAGCAUCUCUUUGAGGGAGGAGGAGGGAUUUGGGCAGGGGGCUGGUGGGGAAAUAUUCAAAAAGGAAGCAGGUGCUUCCAUGACCCUCCAUCAGACCAUCCCUAGAAUCCAAGCAUAAGCACCAGGGCCAUUCCAAGUUGGCCCAACAGACCACGUGACCCAGGGAGGUAAAUUUCCAAGCCUGCUCAAAGGAUGAUAAGUAAUUCACCUCCAGACUGAUAUGCUGGUUCCACUCACAUGGUAUUGGGGAGCUAGGAUUUGAGUCAGAUGAUAGGCUGAGACGAGAAGUCUCAGAUAAUAGUCUAGUUCUGAGGCUAACUUGAUAUCGACCCUAAGAAUUCACUUCCCCUCUCUGAGCCAUCUUUAUCUCCACCGCAAAAUGGGUCUGAUACAUCCCCUUAGACUGUGUUGAGCUCCGGUAAGAACUGAGGUUUGACCAGGCAAUCCCACUCUUGGGCAUACAUCCGGACAAAACUCUACUUAAUAGAGACACAUGCACCUGCAUGUUCAUUGCAGCAUGAUUCACAAUAGCCAGGACAUGGAAACAACCCAAAUGUCCAUCAACAGAUGAUUGGAUUCGGAAGAUGUGGUAUAUAUACAAAAUGGAAUACUACUCAGCCAUAAAAAAGAAUGACAUAAUGCCAUUUGCAGCAACAUGGAUGGAACUAGAGAAUCUCUGAGUGAAAUGAGUCAGAAAGACAAAGACAAAUACCAUAUGAUAUAUCACUUAUAACUGGAAUCUAAUAUCCAGCACAAAUGAACAUCUCCACAGAAAAGAAAAUCAUGGACUUGGAAAAUAGACUUGUGGCUGCCUGAUGGGAGAGGGAGGGAGUGGGAGGGAUCAGGAGCUUGGGGUUAUCAGACACAACUUAGAAUAGAUUUACAAGGAGAUCCUGCUGAGUAGCAUUGAGAACUAUGUCUAGAUACUCAUAUUGCAACAGAAAAAAGUGAGGGGAAAAAAAUGUAUACAUGUAAGGAUAACUUGAUUCCCUUGCUGUACAGUGGGAAAAAAAUAAAUUAAAAAUAAAUAAAUAAAUAAAUACAGAAAACAAGAGCUACUUGCUUAGCAGAUAAAUCAGCAAAAACAUUAAAAAAAAAAAAGAACUGAGAUUUGUCUCUUUUGUUCAGUGCUAUAUACCAAUAGGCACUCAUUACUAUAUGUUGAAUGAAAUAAAUACAAUAUCUAUCUAUUCGCUCGCACAGGGCUUCAUAUGAAGAACAAAUGGAAAGGUGAGGGCUUUGUGGGGUUCUUUGUUUUUUUGUUUUUGUUUUCGUUUUGUCUUUUUAGGGCCGCACCCAGGCCAUAUGGAGGUUCCCAGGCUAGGGGUCCAAUCGGAGGUAUAGCUGCCGGCCUAUGCCACAGCCACAGCAAUGCAGCAAUGCCAGAUCCUUCACCCCCUGAGCAUAGCCGGGGAUCGAACCUGCAUCCUCAUGGUUACUAGUCAGAUGGUUUCCACUCUGCCACGACAGGAACUCCAGGGCUUCAUUUUUUGUCAUUGUUGUUUGUCGUUGUUGUUUUUCAUGGCUGCACCCAGGGCAUAUGGAAGAAGUUCCCAGGCUAGAGGUCAAAUCGGAGCUGCAGCUGCCAAUCCACACCACAGCAACACAGAAUCCUCAUCUGUGACCUAUGCCACUGCAGCUUGCAGCAAUGUCAGAUCCAUAACCCACUGAGCCAGACCAGGGAGUGAAUCCACAUCCUCACAGACAAUAUGUUGGGCUCUUAAUCCCCUGAGCUACAACGGGAACUGUGCAAGGGCUUUGGAGGUAGACGUCCAUUACAAAGACAAUGUAUGUUUUACAAUCUUUUACUAAUAUGAAAUAGAAAAAACCAGAGUUCCUGUCGUGGCUCAAUAAACCCGACCAGCAUCCAUGAAGACAUGGGUUCGAUCCCUGGCCUCACUCAGUGGGCGAAGGAUCCGGCGUUGCCGUGAGCUGUGGUGGAGGUUGCAGACACGGCUCGGAUCCCUAGUUGCUGUGGCUGUGGUGUAGGCCGGCGGCUGUAGCUCCGAUUAGACCCCUAGCCUGGGAACCUCCAUAUGCCACCCCUGUGAAAGAAAUAACCUUGUCUUGGAAAUUACAUGCUCAUCCCUUGGGAUAAAAGCUCCCGGGCUUUGCAAAACAACAUUUGAGAACCAGCGAAGAAAGAAUUAAAGCCCAUGACCUCAAAACGAUUUAAUCCGCCACAUCAGCUGACACUGCAUCCUGAAGCAACAGAGUUGGGGUUUUUUUGUUUUUUUUAACCAACCAUGUUGUCAGUCUUUAAAAGUCCAGGACAUAAAACACAGAAGGGCAAAUGCUAUUUCAGAACGUUCUUCUUGAAAUGGCUGGGAGGGAAAGUAAGCUUUCCCUCAACAUCUGUCUACCACCCAUUAACACUCUGGGGCGUGAGGUCCUCACCAAAAAUCUCCCUCCGGGGGUCCCAGGAACAGGUACCUCUUGAUCGUGGAGACCAAGGCAGUCAGGCCACUUAUUAACAGCCACUUGUUUCCGCAAAUGUCACAGGGAGAUGUGGGAUCCAGCUGUGUCCCAAUUUGCACGCACUUGAAAGCUGUGGGUGUCGCAGCUCUCGGAGGGCGUGGGCAGGGAGGGGCCUAUGGUGUUCCACACAUUACUGGGAAGGAUUCUGGCUACAUGAGAAGGUAGAUUGUGCAUCGCCAGCCAAGCUAGACCCUGACAAAGUCCCUUCUGGUCAGAGCUUGCAAAAGUUUUGCACUGCCUUGGGCGAAAGCUCCUUCCCUGGGUCCAUGGGAUGGGCAGACACGCCACGUCCUCUUCCACAAACAGCUUCCUUAAGAUGCUUGUCAACCCACCCAGCUCAUCAACACAGCCCCUUGCAACCCAGCACUGGACUGAGAUCCCCACAACUGAUCGGUUCCUCUGAUUACAACUUCAUGCUGCAUUUUUCUUUGUUCAACUGGGGAAUCCUAGAAAAGGUAACAGUAAACCCUGACAAACUCCUGGAGAGACACUUAAUAUAGGAAACUGGGCGAUAUGCCUUAGGAAAUACCCAAGGGAGCUCUCCUGCCCCUCAGUUAUGAUUGUUGUUACUUAAAUAAUAUAUACAUAAGCUCAUUAAAUGAGUAUUAAUAGAUACAUAAGCUCAUGCUCAAAGGGAUAAAACUAGAGGAUGCAGAUGUGUGCACCUGCAAGCAUAUACACAUACACAGACACACAAACAUACGCAGAUACACACACAUACACGCAUACACAAACAAUAGCACCCCACAGCCUCACCACUCAACAAGAAGCACAUAUGAAAACAUAUAUAAGAACAUCUUACGUUCCUUUGUCUUUCUCCUUAGGCAUAUACAUAAAGAUAAACAUCCCAUUUCAUAACCUGAUUUUCUUUCCCUCCUUAGCCAUGUAUUGUGACCAUUUUUCCAAGGAAGGUGACAGGUAUUUUCUUUUAACAGUCCCGUAAGUCUAUCCUAUGCUUUACCAUUAUUUACCUAUUGGAGAGUUUGGAGAUUGACCAUUAUUCUCUGUGACAAAGAGCAGCAUAAAGCCACACAUCUUGGGAGCUCCCACUGUGGCUCAGUGGUUAAUGAAUUCAACUAGGAACCAUGAGGGUGCAGGCUCGAUCCCUGGCCUUGCUCAGUGGGUUAAGGAUCCGGCGUUGCCGUGAGCUAGAGCGUAGGUCGCAGACGCAGCUCGGAUCCUGCGUUGCUGUGGCUCUGGCGUAAGCCGGUGACUACAGCUCCGAUUUGACCCCUAGCCUGGGAACCUCCAUAUGCUGUGGGAGCAGCCCAAGAAAUGGCAAAAAGACUAAAAUAAAAUAAAAUAAAGCCACACAUCUUUCGUACAUCUCUGUUUCCUAAAGGAGCUCUGGUUGAGGGCAGAUAAUUUAAGUAAGGAAAUACAAAAAGUAUAAGGCUAGCUAUGCCUUCAUGGAUACUGAAAUAGCCUGAGAUAAUGGGAGGCUACUCUUAGGGUGGAGGAAGAUUACGGUGGAGGAAGGACCAUUAUGCAUCAGGUCCCAACAGCUUCGAUAAGUGGCAGGAAAGACUGUGAUCUAUAGAUGCAAGAGAGGGAGAAGCAAGAGCGCAGGAUAAUCAUGUAAUAUGAGCUUAGGGGUGAGCUCUUAAACAAAAAUGGGAUCUCUAGGAAGCAAUCACAAAGACGAAGAGCAAAGCAAACUUCUGACUCCAGAAACCGCGAAAGCUUAUUGUUCCUGAGUGGAAUGACAGCCCCAAGAAAAAGCCAGGGUCUUCUUCAAGCAGAAGGAAAAGAAAGCAUUCAACAGCAGCAAGUCCAGAGGGGAGAGGGAGAAAAGUCAACAAAGGGAUCAAGAGAAGGAGUUCCCCAGUGGCUCAGGCAGGUUAAGGAUCCAGCAUUGGCACGGCUGUGGCCCAGGUUCAAUCCCAGGCCCCAGAACUUCCACAUGCCAUGGGUGCGGCAGGGAGAAAAAAAAAAAAAAAAAAGAACCAGGAACCAGGUAGGAAGCAGGUGAGGGCCCUGGGGCUGGAGCUUGGUUCUCAGCCUAGGCUUGAGAAUUACAAAGAUGGGAAGUGUCGUUGGAGGUGACCCGUCUCCUAAGCCCUCAAUGGUCAUUUGGCUUCGAGCAAUAUAGCUAAGGGUCUCAGGGAGUGUCUCUACUAGUUUGAAAGACAUGACCAAAACUAUGCCAGGCUCACAAACAUGUUCCACUCUGGAUGACAGCUGUCACGGAAGGGGCAAAGGCCCCUACAAAGUUCAGAGGACGAGAACAGAGCCUCGACUCUCUCCCAAGGUGCAGGCAGCCUCCUGCAAUAGGCUAAGGGUAUUAGGAGGCUUGCAGAGAGACCAUGAGUUCUACCUCAGGGGUUUUUCCCUUGAUGCAGGCAAUAAAAUUGGAGAAUAAAAGGUCGGUGUGUUCCUUCCCAAAUAUGAGCUGCCUCAGUAAGGAUUUUCAAGGGAGCUGUACAACGAAGGAUUCAGAACAACUUCCUAAAAGUUUAAUAGAGCUAUUCAUUAAUCGACUUAUUCAGGAGUUCCCAUCGGUUAAGGAAUCCAACUAGGAACCAUGAGGUUGAGGGUUCGAUCGCUGGCCUUGCUCAGUGGGUGAAGGAUCCAGCGUUGCCGUGAGCUGUGGUGCAGGUCACAGAUGCAGCUCAGAUCCCGCAUUGCUGUGGCUCUGGCGUAGGCCUGUGGCUACGGCUCUGAUUAGACCCCUAGUGUGGGAAUCUCCAUAUGCCACAGGAGCGGCCCUAGAAAAGGCAAAAAGACAAAAAAAAAAUUGACUUAUUCAUUUAAAUAAUAUGUAUUGAGUGUCUAUGAUGUGCAAGGCUCCAAUCUAAACACCAGAACUAGAGAAGUGAACAAACACUGUAAACACUGCACAUAAUUAACAACAAACAAACACAUAACAAAACGCCAGCUAGUAAUAGAGGCUCUAAAGAAAAGGGAAAGGAAAUAAAAACGAGACUGUGGUGUUACUGUACACAGAGAGAUAAGCAUUAGUCAGGGUAGCUGGGGUAUGUUGCAGUAUUAAACACCCCCCAACAGGCAAAGGUUUCUUUCUCUCUCAUACUACUCAGUCAUGUCAGAUCAGCUAGAGGAUCUGUUCUAUGUCUCCAGGAACAGGUUGAUAGAGAAGCCUUAACUCAAAGAUCACUCUGGAGAGUCUAGAACCAGCAAUGAAAUGCUCCCGCAUAAAGUGACAUGUAUCUCUCUGGAUUAUAACCAAUUGGCCAGAACGACUCAAUGGCCCUACUCACCCACAAGGGAGCCAGAAGGUACAAUCCUCCCACUAGCCUGCAAGGCCAAAACCCAGAAAUGUUUCGUGAUUAUGAAAGAUGAUAGCUAAAUGGAUGGAUAGAUAUAACCACGGCAACAGUUAACACUCACACAGCACUAGCGCUGCUUUGAGACGGGCACCGUGGAAAGUGACUUACAUAACCUUUGUAACAGUACUAUGAGGUAGGCUCUGUUAUUAUUUCCAACAUCAAUCUCAUUUUAUAGGCCGAGGUAUGGCAAGGUUAAAAAACUUACCUAAGAUCACAUACUUGGGAAGUGGCAGAGUUGGGAUUCCAACCUAGGCAAAAUUAUUCCAAAGUCUAUGCUCUUAACUAUUACACUAUAUAGAAUGUGGAAAGAGGAUCGAAGGAUACAUGGGUGGAUGGACUGAUGGAAGGAUGGAUGGAUAAGUGAACGUAUGGAUGAAUGAAUGGAUGGAUGGAUGAGUGGGUGGAUGGAUGGAUGGAUGGAUGGAUGGAUGAGUGGGUGGAUGAAUGGAUGGAUGGAUGGGUGGAUGGAUGGACAGAUGGAUGGAUGAGUGGGUGGAUGGAUGGAUGGAUGGAUAUAUGAGUGGGUGGAUGGAUGGAUGGAUGGAUGGAUGGAUGGAUGGAUGAGCAGGUGGAUGAAUGAGUGGGUGGAUGGAUAGAUGGAUGGAUGAGUGGGUGGAUGGAUGGAUGGAUGGAUGAGUGGGUGGGUGAACGGAUGACCAGUCUUAUUAGCUGGCAAUAAUAAUAUUAACUAGGAAAAUAAGAGUGUGACUCAUCCCAUUAGUAGAAGAGGACACACACCUGCAGGUCUCACAUUCAUUUCACCAGUCUUGGUCAUCCAGCUAUGUCACCACUUACAUUCUCCACAGCUCCAGCAGUGAAGCUGUCUGGGGGUUCUAAGCAGAAGGCCAGAGGCCCAUGUCAAUACAUUGUAUGCUUGCUAGUGAAACACUUUCAGCCUCCUGUAACCACAAGCCUGCUCCCCAGUCCCCAUAAAGAAGCUCCUUCUUGGCAGGUGAGGAGCAAUGACUCCUUACAGGCAAAGUCAGGGACAUUCAGACUGUGGUUGAGAAACAGCAGACAUGAGUAGGCUGGUGGAAGGAGUGGGGGGAGGGACAAACUGGUGAUUAUGCCAAAACCAAUGGUGCCUGAGUCAAAAUCAGGGCUUUUGAGGAUUUCCCCCUCUCUGGCAGUAGCACAUACUUGAAAUGAGCUAGUGCCAGAGAACUUAUUGAAAAUGGGAAAUAGCUACCAGGCAGCAUUUUGCGUGCUAACAACAUUCAGCUUCUUGGAUAAAGAGAAGAGAGAGAAAGGCAGCAAGGAAGAGAGCCUUGAAUAUUCUACUUCCAAAGCAUUGUCCUGCCACAGCCUAGGAGGGCCCAGGCCCACCCAAGAGCUUUUAUGGAGCUUCUUUUAGCUGAGCCACGCUGUGCUUUCCACUGCUCAGCCCACAUGGCUCACUGACUCAACAACUUCAAAAGCCACCCAGCUUCAGCAUCCAUCCCAGGAGGCAGGCUGAGUCAAGAAAGGGGGACUAAUCUAUCGCCGAGGUCACAGCAAUUCACCGAGGAGAAAGGACUUGGCUGAAGUUCUCCUCUAGCUAGUCUUGAGAUAAUCAGGCUGGGAAAAUAGAAAAGGGACCCAGUGCCUACAGGAAAAGAGGGGAAAGAAGUUGAGGACACCAAGUCAGAUUCUUGGACUUAGUGGUAGAAGCCAGGUGUGCUCAAGAAAAAAAGCCAGACCUGGGAAGAUGCUUGAAACCCAGCUGGGGAGGAAAGAGCCAAGGCACAUAGCUGCCUAACUAGAGCAUCAUGCAAGGGACUGUGUGCCAGCCACUCAGAAAGCUCAUGUCAUGCUUGGGAUUUGGGGAUUGGUUCCAGGGUCAUCUUUGGGAAGGGAACGGAAUGAAAGAAUGGAGCUUCCUUUCCUAAAGCCCAAGACAACAGGUAGAGAACUGGAUCAGGCUGAAAUGUAGGGAUGGAGGAAGGAGAAGCAUGCACCAAGAGAAAAGAGACAGGCUUUGUGUGGUGCUCUAGGCAGAGAAGAACAGAACAUGAGGUGCCAAAGGAGAAAGAUGGCUGCAAUAAUAUUGAUAACCCUUCACAAAGCCCAAAAACUCUUUUUCACUCCUUGAAUUCCCAACCUUUCCAAGGAUGCUAAGAGGGAAGAUGAGGUUGAAUGCCUUGCC